rnacentral:rRNA from 1 species
CCUACGGGAGGCAGCAGUAGGGAAUCUUCCACAAUGGGCGAAAGCCUGAUGGAGCAACGCCGCGUGGGUGAAGAAGGUCUUCGGAUCGUAAAACCCUGUUGUUAGAGAAGAAAGUGCGUGAGAGUAACUGUUCACGUUUCGACGGUAUCUAACCAGAAAGCCACGGCUAACUACGUGCCAGCAGCCGCGGUAAUACGUAGGUGGCAAGCGUUAUCCGGAUUGAUUGGGCGUAAAGGGAACGCAGGCGGUCUCUUAAGUCUGAUGUGAAAGCCUUCGGCUUAACCGGAGUAGUGCAUUGGAAACUGGGAGACUUGAGUGCAGAAGAGGAGAGUGGAACUCCAUGUGUAGCGGUGAAAUGCGUAGAUAUAUGGAAGAACACCAGUGGCGAAAGCGGCUCUCUGGUCUGUAACUGACGCUGAGGUUCGAAAGCGUGGGUAGCAAACAGGAUUAGAUACCCCAGUAGUC